CCUACGGGAGGCAGCAGUGAGGAAUAUUGGUCAAUGGGCGGGAGCCUGAACCAGCCAAGCAGCGUGAGGGAAGAAGGUACAACGUAUCGUAAACCUCUUUUGUCAGGGAACAAAGGCGGGGACUAGUGCCCGGAUGAGGGUACCUGAAGAAAAAGCAUCGGCAAACUCCGUGCCAGCAGCCGCGGUAAUACGGAGGAUGCGAGCGUUAUCCGGAUUUAUUGGGUUUAAGGGGUGCGCAGGGGGCAUGUUAAGUCAGCGGGAAAAGCCCGGGGCUCAACCCCGGCGAGCCGUUGAAACUGGCGGGCUGGAGUUGGAGAGAAGUACGCGGAAUGCGCGGUGUAGCGGUGAAAUGCUUAGAUAUCGCGCAGAACCCCGAUUGCGAAGGCAGCGUACCGGCUCCACACUGACGCUGAGGCACGAAAGCGUGGGUAUCGAACAGGAUUAGAUACCCCUGUAGUC
rnacentral:rRNA from 1 species